rnacentral:rRNA from 1 species
AACGAACGCUGGCGGCGCGUUUUAAGCAUGCAAGUCGAGCGGCAAGGGCCUUCGGGCCCCUAGAGCGGCGGACGGGUGAGUAACACGUGGACAAUCUGCCCCCCGGCCGGGGAUAGCCCAGGGAAACCUGGAUUAAUACCGGAUGAGACGGGACCCGCGGAGGCGGGAUCCGGGAAAGGCGCUGCGGCGCCGCCGGGGGAUGAGUCUGCGUCCCAUUAGCUUGACGGCGGGGUAACGGCCCACCGUGGCGACGAUGGGUAGCCGGCCUGAGAGGGUGUACGGCCACAUUGGAACUGAGACACGGUCCAGACUCCUACGGGAGGCAGCAGCUAAGAAUCUUCCGCAAUGGGCGAAAGCCUGACGGAGCGACGCCGCGUGAACGAAGAAGGCCGUGAGGUUGUAAAGUUCUUUUCGGGAGGGGGAACAACCGUGGCAGGGAAUGGCCGCGGGAUGACGUGAAUCCCGGAAUAAGCCCCGGCUAACUACGUGCCAGCAGCCGCGGUAACACGUAGGGGGCGAGCGUUGUUCGGAAUCAUUGGGCGUAAAGGGCGUGCAGGCGGUCCUGCAAGUCCGGCGUGAAAGACCCCGGCCCAACCGGGGGGGCGCGCUGGAAACUGCAGGGCUUGAGUACAGGAGGGGAUGCCGGAGUUCCAGGUGUAGGGGUGAAAUCUGUAGAUAUCUGGAGGAACACCAAUGGCGAAGGCAGGCAUCUGGCCAUGUACUGACGCUGAGACGCGAGGGUGCGGGGAGCAAACA